GCUUGCUUUCUUUGCUGGCGACCGGCGCACGGGUGAGUAACACGUAUCCAACCUGCCCUUUACUCGGGGAUAGCCUUUCGAAAGAAAGAUUAAUACCCGAUAGCAUAAUGAUUCCGCAUGGUUUCAUUAUUAAAGGAUUCCGGUAAAGGAUGGGGAUGCGUUCCAUUAGGUUGUUGGUGGGGUAACGGCCCACCAAGCCUUCGAUGGAUAGGGGUUCUGAGAGGAAGGUCCCCCACAUUGGAACUGAGACACGGUCCAAACUCCUACGGGAGGCAGCAGUGAGGAAUAUUGGUCAAUGGGCGCUAGCCUGAACCAGCCAAGUAGCGUGAAGGAUGAAGGCUCUAUGGGUCGUAAACUUCUUUUAUAUAAGAAUAAAGUGCAGUAUGUAUACUGUUUUGUAUGUAUUAUAUGAAUAAGGAUCGGCUAACUCCGUGCCAGCAGCCGCGGUAAUACGGAGGAUCCGAGCGUUAUCCGGAUUUAUUGGGUUUAAAGGGAGCGUAGGUGGACUGGUAAGUCAGUUGUGAAAGUUUGCGGCUCAACCGUAAAAUUGCAGUUGAUACUGUCAGUCUUGAGUACAGUAGAGGUGGGCGGAAUUCGUGGUGUAGCGGUGAAAUGCUUAGAUAUCACGAAGAACUCCGAUUGCGAAGGCAGCUCACUGGACUGCAACUGACACUGAUGCUCGAAAGUGUGGGUAUCAAACAGGAUUAGAUACCCUGGUAGUCCACACAGUAAACGAUGAAUACUCGCUGUUUGCGAUAUACAGUAAGCGGCCAAGCGAAAGCAUUAAGUAUUCCACCUGGGGAGUACGCCGGCAACGGUGAAACUCAAAGGAAUUGACGGGGGCCCGCACAAGCGGAGGAACAUGUGGUUUAAUUCGAUGAUACGCGAGGAACCUUACCCGGGCUUAAAUUGCAGUGGAAUGAUGUGGAAACAUGUCAGUGAGCAAUCACCGCUGUGAAGGUGCUGCAUGGUUGUCGUCAGCUCGUGCCGUGAGGUGUCGGCUUAAGUGCCAUAACGAGCGCAACCCUUAUCUUUAGUUACUAACAGGUCAUGCUGAGGACUCUAGAGAGACUGCCGUCGUAAGAUGUGAGGAAGGUGGGGAUGACGUCAAAUCAGCACGGCCCUUACGUCCGGGGCUACACACGUGUUACAAUGGGGGGUACAGAAGGCAGCUAGCGGGUGACCGUAUGCUAAUCCCAAAAGCCUCUCUCAGUUCGGAUCGAAGUCUGCAACCCGACUUCGUGAAGCUGGAUUCGCUAGUAAUCGCGCAUCAGCCACGGCGCGGUGAAUACGUUCCCGGGCCUUGUACACACCGCCCGUCAAGCCAUGGGAGCCGGGGGUACCUGAAGUACGUAAACGCAAGGAUCGUCCUAGGGUAAAACUGGUGACU
rnacentral:rRNA from 1 species